rnacentral:rRNA from 1 species
AUUGAACGCUGGCGGCAGGCCUAACACAUGCAAGUCGAGCGGAUGAAGGGAGCUUGCUCCUGGAUUCAGCGGCGGACGGGUGAGUAAUGCCUAGGAAUCUGCCUGGUCGUGGGGGAUAACGUCCGGUAACGGGCGCUAAUACCGCAUCCGUCCUGAUGUUGAACCUGGGGGAUCUUCGGACCUCACGCUAUCAGAUGAGCCUGGGUCGGAUUAGCUAGUUGGUGGGGUAAAGGCCUACCAAGGCGACGAUCCGUAACUGGUCUGAGAGGAUGAUCUGUCACACUGGAACUGAGACACGGUCCAGACUCCUACGGGAGGCAGCAGUGGGGAAUAUUGGGCAAUGGGCGAAAGCCUGAUCGAGCCAUGCCGCGUGUGUGAAGAAGGUCUUCGGAUUGUAAAGCACUUUAAGUUGGGAGGAAGGGAAGUGAGUUAAUACAUGGAUGUUUUGACGUUACCAAAAGAAUAAGCACCGGCUAACUUCGUG